UUUUUUUUUUUGUAAUGGUAAGGCUAGUCGUGGUUUGGAGACGAGCGUGAUUACAGAACCGUAUUGGUUAAGAUUAUAGUAUAGUAAAAAGUCUCUUCGGAUACAUCUCUAUACAUCGUAAAAAAUUUUGUUUACAAAACAACUAUAACCCAUCUGUUGCAGGGUUUACGACUCCCAGUUAAAGAACGUCGGAGGUGGCAGCCGUAACGGGAAUAAUUGAGGACGAAUCUCAUAAUUGGAACGAAUCUUCCAUCCUAAAUGAAAUUUUACCAGUCACGCGUGGGGAUAAAUGAUGCUGUCGUAAAAGGGAAGAGAAAGAUAAAAAUUGGUAGUGGCUGGAGGUGCGGCCCGAUCCUCCAAUCGUUUGUCACUCCGUCGACUGGGAAAAUUUCACACUCUCGACUGGUAGAUUAAUGACCGAUCAUUAGGAGCGCACCGUUCGUCGUUAACUCUAUUACCGAAUAUUCUGGGCAGUUUCCGUCAGGGAAACACCCGACUAGUGCCGAGUCUGGCUUGGAUUUAUCUGCCGUUUUGUUUAAAAGGUGGACGUCUAACGACCCGGCUGAGGUUUCGCCAGGAAUUAAGAGGCGUCAACUCGUGUCCGGAACGCCUCACCGGUCCGUAAUUGUAGCCACACAUUAAGAUCCGGCAGAGGCAAAUUAACCGUGUGUUCCUCCGGGAGGUAAAUUUUCGUCUCGAAUAACGACGCUCGUCGUCUCCUCGAUUAUUGGAGUGUGGAGUGGCCGACGCGAUGGUCGUCUUCCUUUUUUCUGUCGACUCUGCCCGUUUUCUCGCCCCACCAGAAGAGGCAACGAGUGGUCGAUUUUCCGCUUUCGUAGCAGUUUUCGGUUAUAAGAAUCGUAAUAUUCUGUUUUUAUAUUAUAUGUCGAUAAAAGUUGGUGUUUUGUCGUCGUCGUCGCUUUCUAACUCGAUCGUUUCUGGUUGGACGUCCUCCACUUAAGAUGACGACGACGACUCACUUAUUCCUUAAUCGACUGGCUUUCUCCAUUCGGUUAAAGUUCAGCAUGGACUUUCACCUUUUAAUUAAGUCGAUUAAACCAACUGUUCCAGCAGAAUGGAUAUUGUUCUAAUCCUAAUUUCCAUUUUAAUCUGAGCCCAAUCAGAUAAAAGUAUUUAAUUGGAGUGACUUUUCGUAUCGUUUAAGACUACUAAAAUUUUUAUUCCCCAAUACUCUUGUAUUAAUUAAAGACGGAGAUUUACGCGGAUCCGUGUGAUGUUUAGAAGGGCUAUUGAAUAGUUUAGUUUGUUUCGUAUUGGAAGAGAUUCUUAGUCUCCUCCUCCUACUGCUAUUUCCCUCUCUCUCUCUCUCUCUGCAUCCCCGAACAACCGUUAAAACAAGCAAAUGUGCAAACAGUUCAGCCCGGGGGAGAUCCUCCAUUACCAUUAGGGUUAAUGAGAGAGGGAAAAACAAAACGUUGCCAUUUAGUGGUAAUUCCACUGUCGUGUAAUAGCUACCUGCUUAUCCGCUACAACUUUUUCUGCUUUGCUGAGGAAUUGGUCCGAGUUUCCAUUGUCCGUAUAGCAGGCCAUACACCGUGAACGAUUAAUGGCAUUUUUAUCGCCUGUCAAAUGCGGAUAAAAUAAGACUAUUGAUGCCCUUUGAUUCCGGAUUUUCACUCGAUAGGUAGGAGAAGCUUAUGUCUUGAUUCUCCAGGGCACCAUCAAACUCGCCAGUUCUAUUUUUCAGGAACGAUCACGCGUUUCUUUCGCUUCGUUUACCAUAUAUAUCACUCUACGCUUUUCCAGAUCUUAAGUACUUCUUAAAUCAGUUUCAGCAAAAAAAAAAGACGUAAUAUUAUAAAUUAGUAAUUAUCUGAUUAACUAAACAGAUUUUAUUCUUCCUUCAUCGAAGGUAUGACGUUAAUCAUUCUUGGUCCCUGGCUUAAUAGCCACUUCUCACUUGUUUUAUCAUUAAAUGAAGGCCCUUAGCUAAUUCUUCAUUCUUCGCCCGAUAUAUGGAGCCAUUUUAAUCUUUCGUAUUUUUUUUUUUUCCUCCUCUUGGUAAAUUAGUGUAUCAAACAGCGAUUACGUGUAAAACACAACCACGCACGGCAGAUAACGCGUGUUUUUUGAUACCAGUAAAGACAGACGGCGCCGAACGAGUGUAAAAGGGCGUAAGUAUUCUGCACGCCAAGGUCGCGAGUUAAUUGUCUUUAAACGCUACCUGUAUUAGUUGUUACCGCGGAUACCAGAUGGCAUUGGACGCGAUAGGAAAGGUCCCUAUCUGUAAACGGCAGCCGGACAUUUAGAUUUAGAUAAGUCACGUUUUCAAUCCGGACCCGGGAAUUUCCCUCGGGUUCUCUGCGAGUGCCCUUCCAAAGUGAAGUGAAGAGAGAGAGAGAGCUCGACUGCCCAGUCAGCACAUUUCCGCCAUUCAAUGGCCAUUGGAGUGGCAAAAACAACCCGUACUCGACUUUCCACUUUCGCAUUUUAUGAAAAUUUCGGAUGAGAAAAACUCCAACAAAAUUUCAGUUUUAAUUAUUUUCGUAAAAUUAAAGAUUCUGUAAGUUUUCGGGCGAACUACUGCUUCAUCUUUAUCACUUUAGGGAAUUUAGGUUCGUGUAUUCUUUUUUUGUUUUUCUUUCUCUCUGCCCAUCUAAAACUCUAUCGUGAUAUGAUUGGCAGCGAUCUCAAUUUAUCGAUUGAAUCUUUUUUUUUUUUUUUUCUUCUCAGAAAUUGGAUCGAUUGAAUUCGAAGCCACUCUGUAU
rnacentral:lncRNA from 1 species